rnacentral:rRNA from 1 species
UACGAGGGGGGGCGAGCGUUGUUCGGAAUUAUUGGGCGUAAAGGGUGCGUAGGCGGUUUGGUAAGUCUUAUGUGAAAUCUACAGGCUCAACUUGUAGUCUGCAUGAGAAACUGCCGGGCUUGAGUAUGGGAGAGGUGAGUGGAAUUCCUGGUGUAGCGGUGAAAUGCGUAGAUAUCAGGAGGAACACCUGUGGCGAAAGCGGCUCACUGGACCAUAACUGACGCUGAUGCACGAAAAGCUAGGGGAGCAAACAGG